ensembl:piRNA 21ur-190 ncRNA
GCACUAUUCUUUGAACUGUUU